rnacentral:rRNA from 1 species
AGAAGAGUUUGAUCCUGGCUCAGGAUGAACGCUAGCUACAGGCUUAACACAUGCAAGUCGCGGGGCAUCAUGAUCGUAGCAAUAUGAUUGAUGGCGACCGGCGCACGGGUGAGUAACACGUAUCCAACCUUCCCCCUACCGGGGUAUAGCCGCCCGAAAGGGUGAUUAAUCCCCCAUGACGUCGCGUGAUCUCCUGAGAUCGCGACCAAAGCCGUAAGGUGGUAAGGGAUGGGGAUGCGUUCCAUUAGGCAGUAGGCGGGGUAACGGCCCACCUAACCAACGAUGGAUAGGGGUUCUGAGAGGAAGGUCCCCCACAUUGGAACUGAGACACGGUCCAAACUCCUACGGGAGGCAGCAGUGAGGAAUAUUGGUCAAUGGGCGCAAGCCUGAACCAGCCAAGUAGCGUGAAGGAUGAAGGUUCUAUGGAUUGUAAACUUCUUUUUCGCGAGAAUAAAAAACUCCACGCGUGGAGUCUUGCAGUUAUCGCGUGAAUAAGCAUCGGCUAACUCCGUGCCAGCAGCCGCGGUAAUACGGAGGAUGCGAGCGUUAUCCGGAUUUAUUGGGUUUAAAGGGAGCGUAGAUGGGCGCAUAAGUCAGCUGUCAAAUCCCGGGGCCCAACCCCGUUCAGCAGUUGAAACUGUGCAUCUUGAGUGGCUUGGAGGCAGAUGGAAUUCGUGGUGUAGCGGUGAAAUGCAUAGAUAUCACGAAGAACUCCGACAGCGAAGGCAUUCUGCCACGCGCCAACUGACAUUGAAGCUCGAAAGUGCGGGAAUCAAACAGGAUUAGAUACCCUGGUAGUCCGCACGGUAAACGAUGAGUGCUCGUCCUUGGAGAUAUACGUUCAGGGGCCGAGCGAAAGCGUUAAGCACUCCACCUGGGGAGUACGCCGGCAACGGUGAAACUCAAAGGAAUUGACGGGGGCCCGCACAAGCGGAGGAACAUGUGGUUUAAUUCGAUGAUACGCGAGGAACCUUACCCGGGCUUGAAUUGUACCUGACGGUCGUGGAGACACGACUUCCGCAAGGCAGGUAUGAAGGUGCUGCAUGGUUGUCGUCAGCUCGUGCCGUGAGGUGUCGGCUUAAGUGCCAUAACGAGCGCAACCCCUGCCGUCCGUUGCCAUCGGUUCAUGCCGGGCACUCUGACGGGACUGCCAUCGUAAGAUGCGAGGAAGGUGGGGAUGACGUCAAAUCAGCACGGCCCUUACGUCCGGGGCCACACACGUGUUACAAUGGGGAGUACAGCGGGUAGCCAUCGCGCAAGCGAGAGCCAAUCCCCAAAACUCCUCCCAGUUCGGACUGGAGUCUGCAACCCGACUCCACGAAGCUGGAUUCGCUAGUAAUCGCGCAUCAGCCAUGGCGCGGUGAAUACGUUCCCGGGCCUUGUACACACCGCCCGUCAAGCCAUGAAAGCCGGAGGUACCUGAAGUACGUAACCGCGAGGAUCGUCCUAGGGUAAAUCCGGUGAUUGGGGCUAAGUCGUAACAAGGUAGCCGUACCGGAAGGUGCGGCUGGAACACCUCCUUU